rnacentral:rRNA from 1 species
GUCUCCGUAGGUGAACCUGCGG